UUCGGGGGGCGGGCUAAACAUGCAAGUCGAACGGUAGCACAAAGAGCUUGCUCUUGGGUGACGAGUGGCGGACGGGUGAGUAAUGUCUGGGAAACUGCCCGAUGGAGGGGGAUAACUACUGGAAACGGUAGCUAAUACCGCAUAACGUCGCAAGACCAAAGUGGGGGACCUUCGGGCCUCACACCAUCGGAUGUGCCCAGAUGGGAUUAGCUAGUAGGUGGGGUAAUGGCUCACCUAGGCGACGAUCCCUAGCUGGUCUGAGAGGAUGACCAGCCACACUGGAACUGAGACACGGUCCAGACUCCUACGGGAGGCAGCAGUGGGGAAUAUUGCACAAUGGGCGCAAGCCUGAUGCAGCCAUGCCGCGUGUAUGAAGAAGGCCUUCGGGUUGUAAAGUACUUUCAGCGAGGAGGAAGGCAUUAAGGUUAAUAACCUUGGUGAUUGACGUUACUCGCAGAAUAAGCACCGGCUAACUCCGUGCCAGCAGCC
rnacentral:rRNA from 1 species